CCAGUCAUAGAAGAGGAGAAGGAUGUGGAGUGGUGAUGAUGCUAGACAUGGAUCUGUAGUGUCGAGUGGAGAAGGAUAUUGAGAGCCAGAGACAACAAGGUUUGGUGGUGACGAUGAAGUCUGUGACACUUCACAAAAUUGGAAGAUGAGAUUGUGAGUGUGACCCUUCGAAAAAAUUGUGAAUCUGGAAACAUAAGAAACGAGAGAGAGAGAGAGAGAGAGAGAGAGAGAGAGAGAGAGGAAAAAGCAAGAUGAAUCUGGACCAUUCAAAACAUUUAAUCAAUGGUUGUGAUUA
rnacentral:lncRNA from 1 species